AGAGUAUCACUCAAAACCAAACCCGAAGGUUUGAGAGAGAAAUGACGCUCAAACAGGCAUGCCCCUUGGAAUACCAAGGGGCGCAAUGUGCGUUCAAAGAUUCGAUGAUUCACGAAAAUCUGCAAUUCAUAUUACUUAUCGCAAUUCGCUGCGUUCUU
rnacentral:rRNA from 1 species